CCUACGGGAGGCAGCAGUGAGGAAUAUUGGUCAAUGGGCGCGAGCCUGAACCAGCCAAGUCGCGUGAGGGAGGACGGCCCUACGGGUUGUAAACCUCUUUUGCCGGGGAGCAACGGGCGUCACGUGUGGCGCCCCUGAGAGUACCCGGAGGAAAAGCAUCGGCUAACUCCGUGCCAGCAGCCGCGGUAAUACGGAGGAUGCGAGCGUUAUCCGGAUUUAUUGGGUUUAAAGGGUGCGUAGGCGGAUCGUUAAGUCAGUGGUCAAAUUGAGGGGCUCAACCCCUUCCCGCCAUUGAAACUGGCGCUCUUGAGUGGAAGAGAAGUAUGCGGAAUGCGUGGUGUAGCGGUGAAAUGCAUAGAUAUCACGCAGAACCCCGAUUGCGAAGGCAGCAUGCCGGCUUCCGACUGACGCUGAAGCACGAAAGCGUGGGGAUCGAACAGGAUUAGAUACCCCAGUAGUC
rnacentral:rRNA from 1 species